rnacentral:rRNA from 1 species
UCUAGAACCGAUAACCCCCGUUCAACCUCACCACCCCUUGUUUUACCCGCCUAUAUACCACCGUCGUCAGCUUACCCUGUGAAGGCCCCAUAGUAAGCAAAAUGGGCAAAACCCAA